rnacentral:lncRNA from 1 species
GGGAGGGUCUGCCAAAGCUUGCCUUAGACACCAUCAGAAAAUGGUCAGGUAAGUGGGCUCCCAAUUAAAAACCACCGGUCUGGUUUACCUUAGACACCAACUGGUUUAAUUAGUUUCGAUUGGAUCAACCUAACAGUUCGUGCUAGACCGCUUAGCCAAGAAUCAAAUCCAUUUGGUUCUCGUUAAAGAUAUGGACUUGACC